GCCGCCUCUUUCUGUGAUCACUGCCACGAAUUAUGUGCUUCGAGUGCUGAAUACUAAAUGAAGUCGGAAAAGUAGCGCGAGCCUACGUGAACUUGGCCGAAAUUACGGUUAUCGAGGCAAUCGGCCCCGUCUGCGCCGCUGCGACGACAACGUCGCGUCGCGCCGACGACGAGGCGAAAGGCCGUGGGCGUACGGCGAGUUUCUCUCGCGACGAAUUUUAUUAAGGCGAACGAACGACUGACGGAGCUCCCGAGGCAAUCGAGUGGAGGACAUAUGCCUAUGCGCGGUAUGAGCGACCACGGCGGUGGCGACGAGGACAAUGGUGGAACGACCGCUUUGAUGAACCGUUUCCAUCUAGUUUUCAGUUUUGAGUGCAUUUCUUUUGCUUUCAUUUGUAUCAAAUUCUUGCGCAAAUACUCUUAAAUGAAAGACAGAAAAACUUAAACGCUUCCGGCGGGUCACUAGCAACGUCGA